rnacentral:rRNA from 1 species
UACGUAGGGUGCGAGCGUUGUCCGGAAUUAUUGGGCGUAAAGGGCUCGUAGGCGGUUUGUCGCGUCGGGAGUGAAAACUCGGGGCUUAACCCCGAGCCUGCUUCCGAUACGGGCAGACUAGAGGUAGGCAGGGGAGAGCGGAACUCCUGGUGUAGCGGUGGAAUGCGCAGAUAUCAGGAAGAACACCGGUGGCGAAGGCGGCUCUCUGGGCCUUACCUGACGCUGAGGAGCGAAAGCGUGGGUAGCGAACAGG